rnacentral:rRNA from 1 species
CAAUAGCGUAUAUUAAAGUUGUUGCAGUUAAAAAGCUCGUAGUUGGAUUUCUGGUAGGAGUGACCGUUCCGAACUUGAUUGUUCGUGUAUUGUGUUUUCUCCAGCCAUCCUUGUGGAGAACUUUUCUUGCGUUAAUUUGUAGGGAUUGGGACCCGCAUCGUUUACUGUGAAAAAAUUAGAGUGUUUAAAGCAGGCAAUCGCUUGAAUACAUUAGCAUGGAAUAAUAAGAUAGGACUUUGGUACUAUUUUGUUGGUUUGCAUACCAAAUUAAUGAUCAACAGGAACAGUUUGAGGAUAUUCGUAUGAACAUGUCAGAGGUGAAAUUCUUGGAUUUUGAUCAGACGAACUACUGCGAAAGCAUUUAUCAAGGAUGUUUUCAUUAA